rnacentral:rRNA from 1 species
UACGUAGGUGGCAAGCGUUGUCCGGAUUUACUGGGCGUAAAGAGCGCGCAGGCGGUCGUUCAAGUCGCGUGUGAAAGCCCCCGGCUCAACUGGGGAGGGUCACGCGAUACUGAUUGACUCGAAGGCAGGAGAGGGUAGUGGAAUUCCCGGUGUAGUGGUGAAAUGCGUAGAUAUCGGGAGGAACACCAGUGGCGAAGGCGACUACCUGGCCUGUUCUUGACGCUGAGGCGCGAAAGCUAGGGGAGCAAACGGG